rnacentral:rRNA from 1 species
GACGAACGCUGGCGGCGUGCCUAAUACAUGCAAGUUGAGCGCUUAAGGUUGGUACUUGUACCAACUGGAUGAGCAGCGAACGGGUGAGUAACGCGUGGGGAAUCUGCCUUUGAGCGGGGGACAACAUUUGGAAACGAAUGCUAGUACCGCAUAAAAACUUUAAACACAAGUUUUAAGUUUGAAAGAUGCAAUUGCAUCACUCAAAGAUGAUCCCGCGUUGUAUUAGCUAGUUGGUGAGGUAAAGGCUCACCAAGGCGAUGAGACAUAGCCGACCUGAGAGGGUGAUCGGCCACAUUGGGACUGAGACACGGCCCAAACUCCUACGGGAGGCAGCAGUAGGGAAUCUUCGGAAAUGGACGAAAGUCUGACCGAGCAACGCCGCGUGAGUGAAGAAGGUUUUCGGAUCGUAAAACUCUGUUGGUAGAGAAGAACGUUGGUGAGAGUGGAAAGCUCAUCAAGUGACGGUAACUACCCAGAAAGGGACGGCUAACUACGUG